rnacentral:misc_RNA from 1 species
AGUAUAGUUUCUUUACAUUCAACCUAGAGAAGUUAUCUAUCUUCCAAGUAAACCUUGAAGUUUGAGGAUCCUCUGGUGGCUGCUUUUCCACAUCAUUGCCUGUUUCUUCCAUAGGCUGAGGUCCUUCAAAUACCAAAUCUGAACGCGGAACAAGCAUCUCCUCCUCUUCAUCGGUAGGAGCAGGAGUCAUUAUGGUCAUUCGAUGAAGAAAUUGAAGAGAAUUUUGAGCUAAUU